GGCUGGAUAUCCUAGUGGAUAAGGUGUCACAUAUGAGUUUUGUCCCACGUAAAGGGUCCUUGGUUUGAAUCCAAGUCUAGUCA
rnacentral:tRNA from 1 species